UAGUACUGAUCGCCGCCGACUUUAGCAGGGGCUUGUGUAGGCGGCGCGGCCGAGGAGUGCCGCUCGCUGGUGGAGCGGCGCGGCUGGCGCGAGGGCGAGCACUUCCACAGAGUCGAGCCUACCCUGGUCUGCCACGACGGAGAAAGUGUGCAGGGAUCACACGUGAUGCUGGAAUGCGGCAGCUACGUGCUUCAAUGGCGCUGUGAGCUACUAGACUCGGCUCAUCGCGCCGCGCAGCUGGUCUACUUCCACGAGACGCUCGCCAGCCACCACUACAAGGGCUCGAUGUCCAGCCUGCAGUCCGGCACGAGCGGGUUCUCGUGCCUCAGCGGCAAGUCGGGCGCCAGCUCGUGCCCGUCGCGGUGAUGCCCUCCCCGCAGCCCGCUCAGCCCCCCCCUCGAGCGAAGCUAGGCCCGGGGGGGCGCGCCCGCCAACUACUACUGCCAGAGGUCUAGUAAAGUGGUCAGUAAUGGCGCCCUAAAAGAUUUGACAGAUGUACUGUGAAGUGUUAUGAUGAUUCUUUAGUCUGUGACGAAGGGGCGGGGCUUAGCUCAGUAACGCCCCAACACUGUAAAUAGAUGAACUAGGUUUGCGCGCCCGCCAACUACUACUGCCGGCGGUCCAGCAGAGUGGUCAGUAAUGGCGCCCUAAAAGAUUUAACAGAUUUACUGUGAAGUGUUAUGAUAAUUCUUUAGUCUGUGACGAAGGGGGCGGGGCUUAGCUCAGCCGCUUAACACUGUAAAUAAUUGGACUAGGUUGGCGCGCCCGCCAACUUCUACUGCCGGCGGUCCAGCAGAGUGGUCAGUAAUGUGGGCGCCCUAAAAGAUUUAACAGAUGUACUGUGAAGUAUUAUGAUGAUUCUUUAGUCUGUGACGAAGGGGGCGGGGCUUAGCUCAGCCGUUUAACACUAAAUAAUUGAACUAAGUUUGCGCGCCCGCUAACUACUACUGCCGGAGAUCCAGCAGAGUGGUCAGUAAUGGCGCCUUAAAAGAUUUGACAGAUGUACUGUGAAGUGUUAUGAUGAUUCUUUAGUCUGUGACGAAGGGGGCGGGACUUAGCUCAGCCGCUUAACACUGUAAAUAAUUAAACUAGCUUUGCGCGCCCGCUAACUACUACUGCCGGAGAUCUAGCAGAGUGGUCAGUAAUGUGGGUGCCCUAAAACAUUCACCAGCAGAUGUACUGUGUCUGUGUGAAGGGGGCGGGGCUUAGCACAGUCGUUUAACGCCCCAACACUGUAAAAACGCCCUAAAAAAUUCAUCAGAUGUACGUUAUGUUCUGUGUCUUACUUUACUCAGCCGCUUAACACUGUAAAUAAUUGGACUAGGUUGGCGCGCCCGCCAACUUCUACUGCCGGCGGUCCAGCAGAGUGGUCAGUAAUGGCGCCCUAAAAGAUUUAACAGAUGUACUGUGAAGUGUUAUGAUGAUUCUUUAGUCUGUGACGAAGGGGGCGGGGCUUAGCUCGGUCGCUUAGCGCCCCAACACUGUAAAUAGUUGAACUAGGUUUGCGCGCCUGCGAACUACUACUGCCGGAGAUCCAGCAGAGUGGUCAGUAAUGGCGCCUUAAAAGAUUUAACAGAUGUACUGUGAAGUGUUAUGAUGAUUCUUUAGUCUGUGACAAAGGGGGCGGGGCUUAGCUCGGUCGCUUAACGCCCCAACACUGUAAAUAAAUGAACUAGGUUUGCGCGCCCGCUAACUACUCCUGCCGGAGAUCCAGCAGAGUGGUCAGUAAUGUGGGCGCCCUAAAAGAUUUAACAGAUGUACUGUGAAGUGUUAUGAUAAUUCUUUAGUCUGUGACGAAGGGGGCGGGGCUUAGCUCAGCCGUUUAACAUUAAAUAAUUGAACUAGGUUUGCGCGCCCGCCAACUACUACUGCCGGAGGUCCAGCAGAGUGGUCAGUAAUGUGGGCGCCCUAAAAGAUUCACCAGCAAAUGUACUGUGAAGUGUUAUAAUCUUUAAUCUGUGACGAAGGGGGCCGGGCUUAGCUCAGUCGUUUAACGCCCCAACACUGUAAAUAAUUGACACUAGUUUUGGGUGAUGGGACUUGUUAGGUUUAAGCGAGCCUUUCCUCUAUCGUGUAGGCCGUUAACCUUAAUGUCAAACUAUUAAUUGCAUUUGAUAUGCAUUAUAAACAGCAUAGACAAUUAGGUUGAAUUUGGCCAGUGACAUCCUAAAAAAGCUGUAGCACCACGAAGUAGUUUGUUAGUGCAACAGCACUUGAGGUGCUCUUACUAAUAACACACGUAUUUAUAUGCUCAUAAGAGUUAUUUUCUUAUGGACAUAAAUACGUGUGAGUGAAAUAAAGUAUCGCCUUGUCUCUGUCUUAACUGAGCUGGAUAAUCGGGCGAUCUGUAACAUAAAAAUCUGAAUUAGAAUAAAGAUAGUGACAAUACAGGCAGGUCUGUGGCAACAACGUGUAAAUAACAAAUAUGACUGCCUUGACGGUUUUAAAGUUAAACUUAAAUGUAUCUUAUCAUGAUAAGAACGACAUAAAAUUAUAUGCUGCGGAUAUUUUCAUAAAGUAUGAAAUUUUAUCGAUGCAGAGAAAGAGAAAAGGUAGUGAAAUACAUUAAAUCAAUUAAUCUGAAGGUAGACGCCUCUUUUCUUUUUUGGUUAAUUAAAAAGUCAUCAGUGUCUUGUCUUUUGACAUUUAUUAACUAAGAAAAGAGGUGUAUCUUGUGAGAGAAUCUUUGUAUGAAAGCCAAUGUAAUAGAAUAUUAACUGUUACAUUUAGGUAAUGAUUAAUAGUGACGACUAUUUCUUCAAUUAUAAUAAGAUUAUAGUAGGUAAAUUCAUCAAUGCAAAUUCACCAUUAGUAGUUAGGUUGGUGACUAUCAUUUGUGAAUAAUGAUUUUAUGAAUACUAAGCUGGGCUUGGACGGUAUCAUAAAAUAUGUGAUAGAAUAUAAAUUAAUAGACGAAUUGACGGUUUUGACUUUUAGGAAGAUGGUUAAGUAAUUUUCUGCUAUUUUCAAUAAUAGGUUAUUCAUAAUAGUAAAAGAUGUUCAUUGUGAACACGACCUGUGUUUAACAUUACAUAUUUUAUUAUGUACCUAGUACCUACUCUGUAAAAAAUCGGUACGAAAUUGGUACUGUACCGAGCUAAUCUUUCUUAACAUUCUAAAGGUAGUGACUCCAGGGAGUUAGAAAAAAUACCUUGUUAAAGUUUUCAACGCAUCUUUAUAGUGCUUACUAUACUUAUUCGCUCACUAUACUUGCAUAGUUCAUUAACAUUUACCCCGUCUAGUUAAUAACCAAGUCGGCGAUUGUCUUAAGUUUUUGACUUUUUUGAUCAGUUGUUGAUUCGUUAAUCAUACGUAAAUUAAUAAUUAAGAUAGUAAAAAUACACUUUUGUGAUAUAAAAAAUAAAUAAAAAUAACUUGUGAUGGUAUUGUAAACGACACUUGUGUGGGUUGGGUUAAAUAAAAAAGGUUAAAAUAAAUUGCAAGCUUGGAACGUUGCACAGUGUUUUAUUUUGCCUCAGAAG